rnacentral:lncRNA from 1 species
GUUUUUCCAUUUCCUAAACUGAGAGGAAAACAAGGAAGCUUAAAAUUUGGUUUUCAAACAGAGAUAAAGUUGAGGUCACUUUUCCCGUUUCUUUAGGUUAGGGUUAGAGUUUCCCCAAAAUGAGAGAAAGAAGAAGGCGAUUAAUGCUUCAACAUUAAUUCCAAUACCUUUUUCUUUGAUGUACGUGCUUAAUACACGUCGAGCUCCAAAAUUAUGUUUUUUUUUUCUUUUCUCUUUAAUGAAGUGGAAGUUGACCUGGACAAUACUGAAGGGUAGAUUGGGUGUAAAAAAACUCAAUCAACACAAAGUACACGAAAAAUUAACAAGUUUUGGGAUGAGGAGAGGUAUCUUGGAUUUACAAAACUUGGUUUCUGAAUAUCUUAUUAUUUCUCUCCUCUCUUCAUCUCUCUCUCUCUCUCUCUCUCUCUCUCUCUUUCUCUCUCAUUUCAUGUCAUUUUGCCCCAACCCCAUCUCAGAAAAUUCCUAAUUUCGAAGUUCAUUUCAAAUUCGAAGACAGGCGAUCUGUCUCUUCAAGUUCCAACCAGCUGACGGAUAUCCAUCUUCAGAAAACCUUCAUCCUCUCAUUUUAGCCUAACCUAGUGUUUCUCCCUUCACGAGCCGACCACCCAAAUCCGAUACCCAUCUUCUUUCAUCAUCAAAGGUGGAUCAUUUUUAAGGUUUGUGGAAACCGAACUGGAGUUGGAGUCUUCCCUUGUUUUGGAUUAAUCAAUCAAAGGUAAGUUUUCCGUUUAAGGAUUUGUUUGGCUACUGAGAAAAUGUUGGGGUCGAAGGUCUUCUAUUUUGGGUUAAAUAUAUGUUUAAAUUUAUAAAUGAAGUAUAAAAUUUUUUUUGCUUUCCAUGAUAUGUGUUGUGAUAAGAUUUUUUGGGAAAUUGUUUCAUCUAUAAUACUUCUAGUUGAUGGAUUUCUUCAUUUAAUUUUAAUGGAACAUUAAUGAUCUUUUGAAAGCUGCAGAUUUGGAUUGAGAAGCACUGCACCAUCUCUUUGAAAACAAAUUUUCUUCUAUUACUUAGAAAUUGUUGCAGACAUCCAUGUGGCAAGGGCAUACUGGAGUAUUUUUUCCAAUUGGAAAAUAAUUAGUUUGAGAGUCUACUGUUAUUUAGAGCAUGCUUUUAAAUACCCAUUGGUAUUCCAAUAUCUAUAUGUCAUACAAACCUUCCUCAGUUGUUAUCUUAAAAUUCCCAUGUUUUUGGUAGUAAUAGUCUUUUUUUUUUUUAAAAAAAUAAUACAUGUAUUUUUGUAGACAUCUCAAUGACAUCUUUGUACUUUUGAACCUUAAUACGAUGGACUGCAUCAAUAUUUUAUUCUCUACUUCCAAGUAAUGGCAGUUUAUAUCACAAAUUGUGUAGUAAACAUAAGAUCCAUUUUGACUGUCAUAUUAUUUUACUUUAUUGAAGUUUUUUGCAAAAUAUAGAGUUGUUGUUAGGGAUGGGAGCCAAUUGUGUAUUACUAGUAGUUGAAGGAAAUUUUCUUUUAAUAUGAAUGGGAUAUUUGAAAAUUAGUACUAGCAAAUAAAGGGAGGGGGGAGAUUAUGUGCUUGAUCAUUUUUAACUAUUAGUGUUUUACUAAGUUAGUCCAUUCUUAAUUUAAUAACAAAAUAAAUGGGUCCAUUCUAUGUGAUGCAUUCUUUGAUACCUUGUGUUUGCAUGUUUGUAUUGUUUGAUAACUUGUCUUUGCAUGUUUUGAUUCUUUGAUGGUUUGAUUAAUUGUUCGUAAGAAAUGUUCAAUGUUGCAUUUUGGUUUGUGGGAGGUCCAAUAAAAUUGUUUUAAAAAUUGCCUUUAUAUGUAUUAUGUUGGUGUGUAAAGGAAUAGUGUAAAGGAUUUGCAUGAAUUGGUUGAUGGAAUUGGUAUGCAAUUGUGAAUUGCAUUUAUGUAUUAUGUUGGUGUGUAAAAGUCUUUGUUUAUUUUCUUUAACAAAGUAUGCUAUCACCUUUGAUAGUUACAUUUGCAGUCACGUACCGGUAUUUUAAUAUACAUGUGUAAAAGAAUAAACUUAGGUAACUUAUUUAGUUACAAAGGAUAGCCUUUAUUUAACUUAGGUAGUACAUGAAUGCACGUACCUUAGGUAUUACCUGAAUGCACCUUAGGUACUACAUUUGUGCACCAACUAUAUUGACUCUAUCAAUCCUAGGUACCACGUUGCUUAAUCAUAAGACCUAGCUUUGGCAUUCACUUUCAUAUGAGUUUAAAGACGAAUUGAUAAAUGUUGAACAUCUGUACUCAGUACAAAAUUUCCUUAAUUGAGCAGGAUAUUAUUAUGUUAUAAGUGGUUAUCCAAGAGGUUCGACUCAGGUACUACCUUAAUAUACCUUAGGUAUUACCUUAAUGCAUUUUAGGUACUACAUCAAUGGACUUUAAGUACUACCUUCUGCAAUUUAGGUACUACCUUAAUGCACCUUAGGAACUAUUUUAAUGCACCUUUGGUACUACCUUAGUGAACCUUUUCAUUCUUGAACCUUGUGUAGAUCCUUUGUCAACCCUAGCUACUAUCUCUAUUAUAGAUUCCUACUUUGGCAUUCAAUAAGGUUGGAGAACAUCUAGAUGAAGAUGAUUUGAGAAAUGUUGCACUUUUGUACUGAAAACACAAUUUCAUUGAUUGCAUUAGAGAUAUGAGCAUGACACUAUUAUGUUGUAAUUGGUUAGUUAAUUGAAAGCUUUUGUUACCUUAAUAGUGUGAAUGUACUACCUUAAUAAACCUUGGGUACUACCUUAAUGUGUCUUAUGUACUACCUUAGUGAACCUUAGGUACCGACAUUAGUGAACCUAAGGCACUACCCUAGCACACCUUGGCUACUACAUUUGUGAACCUACUAUUGCUACUUUGUGAUGUACUACUCAUGGUCAAUCAUAGGAUAUAUCUUUAACAUUUAAUUCCAUCAUAGUUUGAAGAUGAAUCAAUAAAUGACUUAACACACAACUUCCUAAGCUAAGCAUGGCAUUGUUAUGUUGUAAUAGGUUAGGCAAUUAGUUGACCUUAGGUAAUACCUUAUUACAUCUAAGGUAGUACCUUAAGGUACUUUGUUAAGGUACCUAAGGUACCACUUAAUAUACCUAAGAAACUACCUUAAUGAGCCUUAAAUACUACCUUAUUGAUCAUUAGAUACUACCUUAGUAAAUUAACCUUAUGUACUAUCUUAAUGCACCUUAGGUAUUACCUUAAUGGAGCUUAGGUAGUUCGUUCGUAAACCUUGGAUAGUUAGUUUAUCAAUCCUAGGUAGUACCUGGCUCAACCAUAGACCCAACGUUUUUGUAAAAUUGGUGAACACUUCAUUUUUUGUUAUUAAAAACCUUUUUAAAAUUAAAAUCGUUUUCUAAAAUUACUAUAAAAUAGAAUUUUAUAUGUGAAUGGUUGAAUUGCAGUAAUCCACUUAAAAAAAUUUUGAAAAGAUGAUUAAGAAAGUAUUUGAUCAAAUGAUGAGUGCAUAUUAAAUGAAAGGUGGGCACCAGCUUGUAACAUCCAACAUGUUGUAGGGAAGAAGUAAGGCUUCAAUUUUAUAAUAUCUUCUGAGAAGCAAACAGUUGAAGAAUGAACCCAAAUGGAUUGGAACUAUUAAAAAGUAGGAAAAUCUCGACCCUGUUUUAUAUUUGCACUAACAAAGAAUUUGAAGUCAAAGACUAAUAAAUUAGACUUUUUGGAAUUUGCAAAUUUUAAAAAUCAAGCAAAAAAGGCCUAUCAAGUCAAGACUCCUUAUCACCACCAUGGCCUCAAUAUAUCUUCCUUUGAUUUGCUCCAACUAUACAUGAUAGCUAUAAACUUACAGCCAAAAGUUGUUGGCAUCACUAUACUUUUUAGAAUAUUAGAUGUCAAAGAAGUAGAUUAUUAGAUAAAUAAAGGUAAGCCAAGCUUUGGAAAGGUAUGUUAUGUUACAAAGCUGAGCAUUUAUAACGUGUUUUUCAAGAAAUGCAAGUCAUAUAUCAAAUUAAAUGAACAGUAAAGCAACUAACUUGUAAUGGUCAGUUUACAUUAAGCCUUCUCAGUGCCAACCACUUUAAAAUAUAUUAAGCUAUCUAUUAGUAAAAAAUUCCAUAACAAUACCAACACAAGCAGGUUGUUGGUUUAAGCAGUAGCCACAUGACCCACACCUAGAUCAGCCGCAUUUUUGGUUAAUUUUACGAAGACACAUGGCCACCAUGGUUGUCAAUAACAAAGCAUUAUCUACCACACAAUCACACACACUAAACAACUUACUCAGUUGCUCACUUCACUUCAUCGGCAACAUUGUCCAACUGCCUCACAUAGUAGCCUACUUACAAGUUCUUCCGCAUCUGCACUCCUUUGCUAAGGUAAAUCCCCUAAUCACUUCACUUACUUAAGGCUUAAACUUGCUAUGGUGCUUCCACGGUUGGUUCCAUUGGGCAAUGUACUUAUGCAUGUAAUUUGAUCUGGCCUUUUCCAUGAAUCUUUGCAUUAGUAAUUAUUUCAAAUAUUAUGAUAAAUUGACCCAAAAUUUUUAAUUGUAGGCCACCGAACAUGCUAACAUUCUAUGUAAUGUUUGUUGUGUGCAACCAUGAAGUUAAUGAUUCCUGGGUUGAAUGUCAAAGAAAUGUGAUUUUCUAUAAGGGGAGUAUAUACAAGGCAUAUACCUGUCAAGACCAAGUUGUGCGAGCAUGGAUGCUAUAUGAACCAAGAUGGAGAAGGGUCGAUGAAUCUUCAACAUCUGCAGUGGCAAAGGCUCAACAUGCAUUACUAGACGCGCAUCCAAUGCAAAAAGUCACAUAUGGUUCUAUCAUCAUUUUUUUUUUUUUGGGUUCUUUAUUGCAUGUGCACUCAUGAUUUUAAUAUCAAAGUUGACAUAGAAAGUCUACAUGUGUUAUGCAUCUGAAUAUCUAUUGGUGUCAUUUUCAUACUAUUACCAAGUUUUAUUUCAUAAUUAUUGUAAAAUUGGCUACUAUAGAUAGUUAAUAUGCAAUCAUGAACAUGCACAUCUUUAGAUUGGAUGAUCCUCAUCGCAUUUUGAACUUAACUACACCCGGUUAUGUAAUAUGAACUUAUAGAUUCAUGAAUGACAACAUGCCAUUUUCUCAUUUUGCCUGUGCAUAUAGUUCUAUGAUGAUAUUAGCUUAUUGAUAAGUCUACAGAUGAAAUUCUUUGUUCCAAUUUGGGAUGCUUACGUAGAAAUGCAUGUUGGCUGGUGUGGCUCUAGUAGUUCUUGACAUCACUUACCAAUGGC